UUUAGGUGCCUUGCUAGCAGCUCUUGGCAUUUCUUUUGUCAACUGGCAAUCCUGGCACAUGGAUGUGCCAGGAAGGCGCAUUGGAGCACGGAUGUGACUAUGCGCCGGUUGCCGGAAAAACAGCUUUAUAAGCAGAAAUGCCUAGAGCUGCUUAAAGGUGCCUUAG
rfam:Roseburia sp. CAG:45 genomic scaffold, scf73